rnacentral:rRNA from 1 species
CAAUAGCGUAUAUUUAAGUUGUUGCAGUUAAAAAGCUCGUAGUUGGAUUUCGGGUGGGACGCAGCGGUCUCGCAUUGCGUUUGUACUGCUGCAGCCCUCCUUCUUGCCGGGGGCGGCCUCUCGGACUUCACUGUCUGGGGGUCAGAAUCGGCGAUGUUACUUUGAGUAAAUUAGAGUGCUCAAAGCAAGCUUACGCUCUGAAUAUAAUAGCAUGGGAUAACACGACAGGACUCUGGCCUAUCGUGUUGGUCUAUAGGACCAGAGUAAUGAUUAAGAGGGACAGUCGGGGGCAUUCGUAUUCCGUUGUCAGAGGUGAAAUUCUUGGAUUUACGGAAGACGAACAUCUGCGAAAGCAUUUGCCAAGGAUGUUUUCAUUGA